UAUUUUGUCUUAAAAUCCCCCAAAACAGCUUUACAAACAUACAGGGGAAGGCAGACGCUUCAGCAAACAGCUAUGUAGUAGCCAAAUCUUUAAUUUUGAGGCACCUCUUGGUAGAUAAAUCUGGUUUCUAUACAUCUGGAAGCGUGGAAAGCUUGGUUGGUUAUUUAAAAUAAAAUAAUAUUUCUAUAUUUAAAGCUUCGGUCCUGGAAGAUGCUGAUCUCCAGCUGAAUCAUGCCCAGAAGCCACCGACAUCCUUCGUGCCAAGUCCAGGCAGGAGGUGGAAGUGUUGGUCCCUCCUAGAGGAGUUAUUCUAAAUAUUUACAUGUUGAUUCUUUUUAACUUUUGAGACACAAAAAAAAACCAAACCAACCCUCACCAACCCCCAAAUCAACAUGGGAAUCUCUUCUGCUCUGUCUGGCUUUGUGUAAACUGAGCGGAGAAAAUAUUUCCUGUUUUAAGAUCAAAUAGUGAGAGUUCAGCCCCGUUGCUCUGGUUAUCUGAGAAGGGGUUAAAAAUGGGGUUGAAAAGCUUGAAUGGUGCCAAUUUGGGGCUAUAUUUGGUCUGGGAGGUAUUUUAUUUUCGGGGGACGGGACACACAGAGGAUACAAAAAGUCACCCCGUGAUGUAGGAAAAAAUAAAGGGUUUUUUAGCUGAAGGGGAGAACUCACCGUGGUGGCUUGGGGUAUGAAGGGCCUGGUCUGAAAUUGGAAUUUAUUUGAAGUGCUUAAAAAUAUACAUUUGGAAAUAAAAAUUCACUGGGGGAGCUGAGGGGGGGGUUAAUAUUGGAAUCCCUUUUUCUGGUGUGGCUGUUCCUGCAGCGAAACCCCCUCGUGGAGCCUUUUCCUGGGGUGCUCAGUAGGGAAAGGGUGGCCUGAGAGGUGUGCUAUAAAUGGGGGAAUUAAGGAAUAAAAGGAAAAUAAUGCCUUUUUUUUUUUUAAUUUCAGAUCCAGGUGCUCCACGUGGUGCUGAGGGAAAUGGUUCUUUUUCACGGUGAUGCUGCUCUGGGGGCUGACAGGAGGGUUGAAAAAUCCCCUCACUGUCCAUUGGAAAUUAUUUUUCCAGAGCUCUCCCAGGCAAAACUCGGCGUUUUUAUCAACUUUUAUAGCAGAGAGGAGCCAGGAGGUGGCACUGGAUGGCAGCAAAUUGAGGUUUCUCUCCCUUCAGCAGCUCCUGGCCCUGCUUCAGAGCCGAAGAAAAUAAAAUAAUUCUACUUUUUAAGGUUGGAAACCUGGAUAAACCCCUCAAGCUGGGGUUGGGGCACCGCUGCCCCGUGGGUGUCGAGGAGAUGGGUGGGUUUGGGUCGUAGCUGCUCUGGGUGGUGGGGAUUUUCAGCCAGAGGUUUUUGGGAGCUCAAAGCUCCGCGCAGACAUGAUGUAACAGCUUUUUUUGUCCACCAGCUAGUUUCAGAGUUUCUUCUUUGGUUUUCAGUGGGUUUUCCUGUUUUCUGCUUCAGACUCGGUGAAUUCUAGAAAUUCCACUAUACAGUGAUUUUUGAGCCUGUCAACUCUCUAUAUGUUUUUCCCUUACUGCAGUAAAAAUACUUGCUGGCAUUUUUUCUUUAGUUGAAAUUUCAUGGAGCCCCAAAUAUAAUUUUAAAAGACUGGCUCAACCGUCAAGACCUUUCAUUUUUAUUUAAAUAAAGCCCAUCUUCAUACUAAACA
rnacentral:lncRNA from 1 species